GGGCGUAUGGUCUAGUGGUACGACGUCUCAGUUGCAGAUAAUGUUCAAAGCCUUGAAGCCGUUGGAAGCUCCAAAACAGGUGAGAGGGUUUCGAAUGAUGUAAUGCUCCAUGAGAAGGUCCCAGGUUCGAACCCUGGUACGUCCA